CAACAAACUAAUUUCAAAAGAAAUACAUCUAAUAUUCAAUGAGAUCACCACUAAUAAAUAAUAAAAUAUCUCAAAUUAAAAAAAUCAUCUCAAAGUAUAAAAAUAACAGUUAAAUUCUAAUCAAACUCUAGGAAAAGCAAUUAAAAUUCUAGCCACCAAGCCAAGCUACCAAACAAAACUUCAAAAGAAUAAUUCAAGUAUUCCAACAGCAGGACUUGCAGCAAAACUUCCAGCACCAUCUUCCAAGAGCACUCUAAUUCCAGUCACAUAUCCAGCAAUAGUACUCCAACUAAUAGUCUAACUCAUAUGCAGUAGCCCAACAUCUUCCAACAACACUUUAAUUCCAGCCAUAUGCACAGCAACACUCCAACCUAUACCUAGUAACAUAAUCUAUGCAGAAUCAAUCAAAAUACCCAAUGUUAUCAAAUGCAUAACAUCUAUACUACAAUCCUUAAGAACAACCAUCAUAGUUUGACACAAAUUUAAUUUCAACAAAUUGUAAUAACUAAUAACAAGGUGUUUCAUACUCACACUAAUCAUUGCUGAUGCGACAAGGAUGUUGAAAAAAUGGUUAGCCCACUCUAAAGGAACCUCAUCAGGUUCAUUCUGAGUGUAUGUUUCUUUCCAUUAAAGUGUUAAUCACAAGAUUAAUACUGUCAAACUUCAAAAAUAAUGCCACAAAUAUGGAAUAAAAGAAAGUUAAAAUAUCUCAUCAUCAACUUACAUUGUUCAUUAACAAACAACAUUUGCUAUUGAAGAUGUAUAGUGUAUACAAGAAGUUUAAAAAUCGACCUGCUUUCAUGCUUUUGUUCUUCAAGCUUGGAUUGUAUAGAUUCCUACAAAACUCCUUCCAAUUUCUUAGUUUUUAUCCCGAAAGCAAUCAAACAUGCAUUUGCUCAAUUAAGUGAUCAACAUAAAAAAUAAUAAUAUGAAUAAUCAUGAAAUAGCUAGUAUUUACCUACAGAAAAAUAAUAUGCUAUAAUAUAAUAACCUUGCAUUUUAUAACAUUUCUAGUCCUUGGUGACGCAGAUUUGUUAUCCAUGAUGAUUAGUGAAGAACAAUCAUGAUUAAUUAGGAGUAGAACCUGUUAUUGAACUUAAAAUUCUCUUCAUCUUCUUUUUCGUUCAAAAUCAAAGGUGCCAUAUUCACAAAUAAAGAUAAUGGUAUAAUUUUUUUUUUUUAAAAAAAAUUUUAAUCCUUUUAUUUCCUUUUUCAGAAUGAAACACAAAAUUGAAAAUAGAGAUGAAUAUAUAGCUACACUAAUGAAAUCAAAAUUAUUGAUUCAAACCUAAAACAUUUUAAAAAGAAAUAAAAAAGUGAAGAAAAGAAUUCACUACCACCCUAAUCAAGCCAUAAAAAAACAUUUCCUACAAAGAUUGUCUCUUUGAACUUAGCAAACAAAGGCUUGUAAUGGGGUGUUUUAUGGGUUGUUUUGGUUUUUCCGGCAGACGGAGACGUUGAAAACCAGCCAAUAAAGUAUUGCCCGGAGACCAUAGAGUUGGGAGUUAUGAGCCUUUGGAUUCAACAGUCUCUCAGCUUAGUUGAAGUGACAAGAAGAUUAAGGAGAUAUCAAGCAUCAAAAUUGGGAAGAAAAUGAGCUUUAAUUUGAAUGUUCAAACCUAUGAGCCAUUAAAAGAUGAUGAAACUGUAUAUUGAUUGUCGAAGAGUGAUGAGGAUGAGAUGAGGGAAAAGAAUUGUGAAAGAUUUGCAAACGGAAGCCUAUCUACUACUGUGUCCGAAGAGAAAUCUACCGAGUCGAAAAUGGGGCCAUUUCCCAGCAACCAUAGAUACCAAAACUGCAGAGAUAGCUAUGAUGAUGAGGAGGACGAGGAUGAUAUGGCCUACAUUGGGAGUGAUUUGGAUGAGGAUGAUGAUGCGGAUGAUGAAUUUGAAUAUGAUAAUGACGAUGAGAAUGACAUUGAUGAUCAAAGAAUAAGCCAAAGUGAGUUCUUGAAGCAAUCAAACAAUCAGUCAGUGGAAUCACCCAAAAGAAACAUAACCAACAACCAUAUGCAAAUGCAACUUCCUGCCUUAAUAGAUGGAGACCCGAAAAGAAAUGACCGGGAUAGGAGCCAAUAUAUAAAUUGUGUGUUGAAUCCUGUAGAGAAUCCCACUCAAUGGAAAGCAGUCAAGGCAAGAACAGCAGCAGCACCUCAGCUUCUAAGAAAGGAGAAUAAUGGAUUACAGCAAGAAGGACAAGUACCUUCUUAUUUGACAACAAGUUCCAAUUUGUAUCCUUUCAAUUUAGUACCAAAUCACAACCAAUCGAAGCCUCUACUCCACGAGAUUGCAGUCGAUGCCAACCUUUCAAACUGGUUAGCUUCAUCAAACCGUAAUGAGUCUAAGACCAGUAUCAUCAACAACAGCAGAUCAUGCUCGCGGCAAAGUAGAGAAGAUAUACCAAUUAUAGAUAUCACCAACUUGAAGGCAUCAACAACAUAAUGAAACAUCGUCAAAUGCAAGAACUUCAGUUCUGGGAAUAUAAAUUGCAACUGUUUGGUUCAUAGUCUAUUUAAGCAUGAAAUUUAUUGCUUGUUGGGUUUUCGUUUCUGAUUCUUUUAUUAUUUUUUGACUAUAAUUCAUAACUAUGAUGUUUUUGGAAAAAAAAAGUGAAGAAAUGUUACCUAGGCUCAAACCUCUAGUUCCUGUUCCAGCCACCACACAAUAUCCAUUACCGACUAAUCUUUUAAGUCGAUCUCCACCACCAUCAAAACCAUAAAGAGCCGCCCAUCAAAUCCUAGCCGUAAAUACCACCGAUUUGCUACAAGAAUCACCAAACACGACUACCAAACAGCAACGAAACCUCCACCUCGUUCACUAUCUUCCUCCGUGAUUCACCAGCCACCACCAACAACACAUUACUAGUCAUUAGCUAUAUCAAUCUGGUUACCUCCCUCUUCUAGCCCCUUCACCUUUCGCUGGAAUUGAAGCCCAAAAUCAACACCGGCUCUUUCAUAAUUUUCGAUCAAAUGCUCGUGAAUUGAAGAGAAGCUCUAGCAGGACAUCGACUUUGUGGCCUAUGGGUGGGAUUUGAAAGUUGACUCUUUUACUUGGGUUAAUUGGCUGUGAAUGUAGGAAGUUUGUUCGAUCGUGAGUGAGGGUUUGAGCUUCUAGGGUUUCAAUUUCUUAGGUUGAGAGAGGGAGUGAUGAAUGUGUUGAGUGAGGGUUUUUAACUUAGAAUAUUUUGUAGUGUUUUGUUAAAAC
rnacentral:lncRNA from 1 species